CAAUAGCGUAUAUUAAAGUUGUUGCGGUUAAAAAGCUCGUAGUUGGAGUUCUGCCAGGUGCCGCCUGUCCGCCCCAGUGGUGAGUACGUGGCGCGCAUUUGGCCCUUUCAAGGGGAGCGUAUCUGCACUUUAUUGUGUGGUGCGGGAUCCUUGACUUUUACUUUGAGGAAAUAGGAGUGUUCCAAGCAGGCUCUCGUCGUGCACAGCUCAGCAUGGAAUAAUAGCAUUGGACCUCGAUUCUAAGCUGUUGGUUGCCAGAAGCGAGGUAAUGAUGAAGAGGGAUAGUUGGGGGCAUUCGUAUUUAACUGUCAGAGGUGAAAUUCUUGGAUUUGUUAAAGACGGAAUACUGCGAAAGCAUCUGCCAUGGAUGUUUUCAUUGA
rnacentral:rRNA from 1 species